rnacentral:tRNA from 1 species
UAGGAAUAUAGCUCAGUUGGUAGAGCAUCUGACUUUUAAUCAGAGGGUCACUGGUUCGACCCCAGUUGUUCCUGU